AUACGUAGGGGGCGAGCGUUGUCCGGAAUGAUUGGGCGUAAAGGGCGCGUAGGCGGCCCGGUAAGUCUGGAGUGAAAGUCCUGCUUUUAAGGUGGGAAUUGCUUUGGAUACUGUCGGGCUUGAGUGCAGGAGAGGUAAGUGGAAUUCCCAGUGUAGCGGUGAAAUGCGUAGAGAUUGGGAGGAACACAAGUGGCGAAGGCGACUUACUGGAUUGUAACUGACGCUGAGGCGCGAAAGUGUGGGGAGCAAACAGGAUUAGAUACCCUGGUAGUCCACACUGUAAACGAUGAAUGCUAGGUGUAGGGGGUAUCGACCCCUUCUGUGCCGCAGUUAACACAAUAAGCAUUCCGCCUGGGGAGUACGGCCGCAAGGUUGAAACGCAAAGGAAUUGACGGGG
rnacentral:rRNA from 1 species